rnacentral:lncRNA from 1 species
GUCGUCUUACGGAGCCGGCUGCGCUGCGAAACGGUCCGUAUUCCAUGCCCACUUAGAGCACUGAACAUCCCACAUCUUGGUUUGACUUCCUGGUACAGGAUACUUGCACUUAGCAUGGAGUGAUGAAGCAGAGCAGUGUACUUUUAUUAAAUGUGCAGAUUUUAGCAGUAUAACAGCAGUUCAUUAAAAAAAACGUGUGCUGAAAAUAAAGUGUUCUUACCCACA